rnacentral:rRNA from 1 species
GGCUCGCAGGCGGUUUCUUAAGUCUGAUGUGAAAGCCCCCGGCUCAACCGGGGAGGGUCAUUGGAAACUGGGAAACUUGAGUGCAGAAGAGGAGAGUGGAAUUCCACGUGUAGCGGUGAAAUGCGUAGAGAUGUGGAGGAACACCAGUGGCGAAGGCGACUCUCUGGUCUGUAACUGACGCUGAGGAGCGAAAGCGUGGGGAGCGAACAGGAUUAGAUACCCUGGUAGUCCACGCCGUAAACGAUGAGUGCUAAGUGUUAGGGGGUUUCCGCCCCUUAGUGCUGCAGCUAACGCAUUAAGCACUCCGCCUGGGGAGUACGGUCGCAAGACUGAAACUCAAAGGAAUUGACGGGGGCCCGCACAAGCGGUGGAGCAUGUGGUUUAAUUCGAAGCAACGCGAAGAACCUUACCAGGUCUUGACAUCCUCUGACAACCCUAGAGAUAGGGCUUUCCCUUCGGGGACAGAGUGACAGGUGGUGCAUGGUUGUCGUCAGCUCGUGUCGUGAGAUGUUGGGUUAAGUCCCGCAACGAGCGCAACCCUUGAUCUUAGUUGCCAGCAUUCAGUUGGGCACUCUAAGGUGACUGCCGGUGACAAACCGGAGGAAGGUGGGGAUGACGUCAAAUCAUCAUGCCCCUUAUGACCUGGGCUACACACGUGCUACAAUGGACAGAACAAAGGGC